rnacentral:rRNA from 1 species
AUUGAACGCUGGCGGCAGGCCUAACACAUGCAAGUCGAACGGUAGCAGGAAGAAGCUUGCUUCUUUGCUGACGAGUGGCGGACGGGUGAGUAAUGUCUGGGAAACUGCCUGAUGGAGGGGGAUAACUACUGGAAACGGUAGCUAAUACCGCAUAACGUCGCAAGACCAAAGAGGGGGACCUUCGGGCCUCUUGCCAUCGGAUGUGCCCAGAUGGGAUUAGCUAGUAGGUGGGGUAACGGCUCACCUAGGCGACGAUCCCUAGCUGGUCUGAGAGGAUGACUAGCCACGCUGGAACUGAGACACGGUCCAGACUCCUACGGGAGGCAGCAGUGGGGAAUAUUGCACAAUGGGCGCAAGCCUGAUGCAGCCAUGCCGCGUGUAUGAAGAAGGCCUUCGGGUUGUAAAGUACUUUCAGCGGGGAGGAAGGGAGUAAAGUUAAUACCUUUGCUCAUUGACGUUACCCGCAGAAGAAGCACCGGCUAACUCCGUG